rnacentral:rRNA from 1 species
CUACGGGUGGCAGCAGUGGGGGAUAUUGCACAAUGGGGGAAACCCUGAUGCAGCAACGCCGCGUGAGUGAAGAAGUAUUUCGGUAUGUAAAGCUCUAUCAGCAGGGAAGAGAAUGACGGUACCUGACUAAGAAGCCCCGGCUAACUACGUGCCAGCAGCCGCGGUAAUACGUAGGGGGCGAGCGUUAUCCGGAUUUACUGGGUGUAAAGGGAGCGUAGACGGCUGGUCAAGUCUGAAGUGAAAGCCCGGGGCUUAACCCCGGAACGGCUUUGGAAACUGAGCAGCUAGAGUGCUGGAGAGGUAAGCGGAAUUCCUAGUGUAGCGGUGAAAUGCGUAGAUAUCACGAGGAACCCCGAUUGCGAAGACAGCCUGCCGGGGUGCGACUGACGCUGAGGCUCGAAGGUGCGGGUAUCAAACAGGAUUAGAUACCCUGGUAGUC